rnacentral:rRNA from 1 species
GGGAAAAGCUCAAAGUUGGAACCUGGCUGUCCUAGAUAGUCCGGAUUGUAAACUAAAGAGCGUGAAUCCAGGCAAGCCGGUUGAUCAAGUCCUUUGGAAUGAGGCGCCACUGAGGGUGAGAGCCCCGUAAAUCGACUGAGCAUUUGUCUUUUGUGUUUCGCGUUCAAAGAGUCAGGUUGUUUGGGAAUGCAGCCUAAAGCUGGUGGUAAAUCCCACCUAAAGCUAAAUACAGGCGAGAGACCGAUAGCGAACAAGUACCGUGAGGGAAAGAUGAAAAGUACUUUGAAAAGAGAGUUAAACAGUAUGUGAAAUUGCCAAGAGGGAAGCAUUUGGAGUUAGACUGACUUGGAGUUAAUCAGCUUGGUCUUUGGACUGGGUGUACUUGACUUCUAUGUCUGCCAAUAGCAGUUAGUCCUGGUGGAAAAAACUGAAGGGAAGGUAGUCCUUCGGGAUGUUUAUAGACCUUUGGAAAAUACACUGGGAUUGACUGAGGAAUGCAGUAGAUGCUAUUAAGGCUUCGUCUAGUAGGUGUUAGGUGAAGGUACUUGGUAUUUUCAGCUUGCUGAUGUGCUAGGUUACUUGAGCUUAAUUGCUUGCUAGAACUGUAAUCUACUUUGGUUAUUGGCUUAAUGACUCUAAAUGGCCC